rnacentral:rRNA from 1 species
AACGAACGCUGGCGGCGUGGAUAAGACAUGCAAGUCGAACGGGACAGACCGAGUAGCAAUAUUUGGCAUGUUCAGUGGCGAACGGGUGCGUAACACGUGGAUAACAUUCCGGAAAGCGGGGAAUAGCCCAGGGAAACUUGGAUUAAUACCGCAUGUGGCCGCAAGGCUAAAGACGGGGACCGAAAGGCCUGUCACUUACCGAUGGGUCAGCGGCCUAUCAGCUAGUUGGCGGGGUAAUGGCCCACCGAGGCUACGACGGGUAGCUGGUCUUAGAGGACGACCAGCCACACUGGAACUGAGACACGGUCCAGACACCUACGGGUGGCAGCAGUCGAGAAUCUUUCACAAUGGGGGCAACCCUGAUGGAGCGACGCCGCGUGGAGGAUAAGGUCUUCGGAUUGUAAACUCCUGUCAUGCGAGAACAAGGUACUCAGGCUAAUAACCUGAUUGUUUGAUGGUACCGCAAGAGGAAGAGACGGCUAACUCUGUGCCAGCCGCCGCGGUAACAC